UCCGUAGGCGGGCUAAUAAGUCAGGGGUGAAAUCCCACAGCUCAACUGUGGAACUGCCUUUGAUACUGUUAGUCUUGAGUUAUAUGGAAGUAGAUAGAAUGUGUAGUGUAGCGGUGAAAUGCAUAGAGAUUACACAGAAUACCGAUUGCGAAGGCAGUCUACUACGUAUAUACUGACGCUAAUGGACGAAAGCGUGGGGAGCGAACAGGAUUAGAUGCCCUGGUAGUCC
rnacentral:rRNA from 1 species